AGAGUUGAUCCUGGCUAGAACGAACGCUGGCGGCGCGUCUUAAGCAUGCAAGUCGGACGGCAAGGGUAGCAAUACCCCUAGAGUGGCGGACUGGUGAGUAACGCGUGGGUGACCUACCCUUGAGUUGGGGAUAGCCAUUAGAAAUAGUGGAUAAUACCGAAUACGAUCGCGACACUUUGGUGAUGCGAUGAAAGGAGCUACGGCUCCGCUCGAGGAUGGGCCCGCGUCCCAUUAGCUAGUUGGUGAGGUAACGGCCCACCAAGGCGACGAUGGGUAUCCGGCCUGAGAGGGUGUACGGACACAUUGGGACUGAGAUACGGCCCAAACUCCUACGGGAGGCAGCAGCUAAGAAUAUUCCGCAGUGGACGAAAGUCUGACGGAGCGACGCCGCGUGGAUGAAGAAGGCCGAAAAGGUUGUAAAAUCCUUUUGCUGAUGAAGAAUAAGUGUGGUAGGGAAUGACCGCAUGAUGACAUUAGUCGGUGAAUAAGCCCCGGCUAACUACGUGCCAGCAGCUGC
rnacentral:rRNA from 1 species